UCAACGCUAUUACAAACUAUGCUGUUGUAUGAAACUUGUAUUGUUCUGAGUCGAAAAUGUUUGUGAGAUGUCAACAAAGACUUUUGGCAAGUCUCAAUGACAGUUUAAUGAUAACUACAUUAUCAGUUAAGGCCACCUAUAGGCAAAUUCCGGUUUCAUGCUUACAGACCUGAUAUACAAUUCAGGACUUAUUCAAUCACAACCAUCACUGCAAUACCAAUUAACAAACAGACAUAUCGUACAACAAUCAUCAACUGGAACAUCAUCAAUUUGCAUAUAUAGAUAACAUAUCACAAGUACAGUCGCAAGAACAAUUAAUAUUAUACAGAAUAACACCAAACUAUAACGGAGGAUUUCAAUCGUUGGAUAAUACUGCAGAUGAAGUGAAAGAGGCAGGUGGCACAAGCAUUUUAAAUAUGAACAAAAUAAACAGUAUAAUUUUGAUUUGAGUCUCGAUCAACUUGAUUCGGCGGAACUCGCCGAUUUUGAAACUGCUUUUUCUGAACAUCUAUCCAGUGGAUUAUCUAUUUCAGAUUUUAUUACGUUGAAAACGAACAAAGAAACAAAUGCAGGACCAAGCAACACCGAAAAAAAUAACACUGCCGAUAAUUUUACAAGCAUUAUUAAUAACGCUAUUCAGGAACUGUGCACUUUAGAUAAUAUGUAUGAAUCAAUGCCAGAAACGAACGGAGUAAUAAACGCAGGACCAAGCAACAUGACUGAUAGGUACAUAAGUAUUACUAAUAAUAAUAUUCAGGAACUUUAAAUAAUAUGUGCAAAAUCAAAAGUGAAAAUUGACACAUUGAAGUGAAAUGUCAUUGUAUAAAAUGUUAUAUAAACAUUAUUCUCUAGACAAAAAUUUCUCUGUAUGAGUAUAUUAUGUAAUUAACAUUUAAUUGGUGGUGAUUAUAUUGCAGUAUAUUACUAUGUGAUCUUUUAAAAUACCUAUUCAAUUGUUACUCUGAAUAUUGUGGAUAUUUUUAUACAAUUUUUAAGAAUCACUGUUUUCAAUAUCAUGGUCGAAGAAUAUUUAUCGAUUAAGUCAUAUACAAAAUGUUAUGACUGUGAUCAAAGUAUAUAAUUGUAUAAUAUAAUAUAAUGUUGAUUUUAGAUUGUAUAUAAAUAAAAA